UACAUGGGGUGCAAACGUUGCUCGGAAUUAUUGGGCGUAAAGCGCGCGUAGGCGGUUACUCAAGUCGGAUGUGAAAGCCCUCGGCUUAACCUGAGGAAGUGCACCCGAAACUGAGUAGCUAGAGUACUAAAGAGGGUCGCGGAAUUCCCGGUGUAGAGGUGAAAUUCGUGAGAUAUUGGGAAGAACACCGGUGGCGAAGGCGGCGAGCUGGUCCAUUACUGACGCUGAGGCGCGACAGCGGUGGGGAGCAAACAGG
rnacentral:rRNA from 1 species